AAUAUUGCACAAUGGGGGAAACCCUGAUGCAGCAACGCCGCGUGAGUGACGAAGGCCUUCGGGUUGUAAAGCUCUGUCUUCACUGACGAAGUAUGACGGUAAGUGAGGAGGAAGCCACGGCUAACUACGUGACAGCAGCCGCGGUAAUACGUAGGUGGCGAGCGUUAACCGGAAUUAGUGGGUGUACAGGGUGUGUAGGCGGGGAUGCAAGUCAGAUGUGAAAUCCAUUGGCUCAACCUAUGGUGUGCAUUUGAAACUGCGUUUCUUGAGUGUGGGAGAGGUAAGCGGAAUUCCUAGUGUGGCGGUGAAAUGCGUAGAUAUUAGGAGGAACACCAGUGGCGAAGGCGGCUUACUGGACCACAACUGACGCUGAGACACGAAAGCGUGGGGAGCAAACAGG
rnacentral:rRNA from 1 species